rnacentral:rRNA from 1 species
GAGUUUGAUCAUGGCUCAGAUUGAACGCUGGCGGCAGGCCUAACACAUGCAAGUCGAGCGGAUGACGGGAGCUUGCUCCUUGAUUCAGCGGCGGACGGGUGAGUAAUGCCUAGGAAUCUGCCUGGUAGUGGGGGACAACGUUUCGAAAGGAACGCUAAUACCGCAUACGUCCUACGGGAGAAAGCAGGGGACCUUCGGGCCUUGCGCUAUCAGAUGAGCCUAGGUCGGAUUAGCUAGUUGGUGGGGUAAUGGCUCACCAAGGCGACGAUCCGUAACUGGUCUGAGAGGAUGAUCAGUCACACUGGAACUGAGACACGGUCCAGACUCCUACGGGAGGCAGCAGUGGGGAAUAUUGGACAAUGGGCGAAAGCCUGAUCCAGCCAUGCCGCGUGAGUGAAAGAAGGCC